CUUUCUUUGCUGGCGACCGACGCACGGGUGAGUAACACGUAUCCAACCUGCCCUUUACUCGGGGAUAGCCUUUCGAAAGAAAGAUUAAUACCCGAUAGCAUAAUGAUUCCGCAUGGUUUCAUUAUUAAAGGAUUCCGGUAAAGGAUGGGGAUGCGUUCCAUUAGGUUGUUGGUGAGGUAACGGCCCACCAAGCCUUCGAUGGAUAGGGGUUCUGAGAGGAAGGUCCCCCACAUUGGAACUGAGACACGGUCCAA
rnacentral:rRNA from 1 species